rnacentral:lncRNA from 1 species
AGGUCGACAUCGCAGGCCCCGAGCCCGACCCGGUCUAUGUCCAUCCACGCUGUCGCGCCGCUCCUGUCCGCGGGCUGCCCAUCAAAACGCGCGGGCUCCACCAAGCUGCAAGCGGGAGGCCCACUUUAUCCAGGGCCCAUGCGGCGGGCUCGUCCCGGAGCGAGCGCGUGGCCGGACAGCUGCUGGUCCCCGGAACCCCAACUGAGCCCUCUGGAAUUGGAAUUCGAAUCUCUGCGCCUGCACGUACUAUGCCG